GCCCGCGUAGCUCAGUGGAUAGAGCAACUGCCUUCUAAGCAGUGGGUCGCAGGUUCGAUUCCUGCCGCGGGUACCA
rnacentral:tRNA from 1 species